UUUUAUUUUUUUUAGGGCAUGGUGAAAGAUAUGGGUCUAGUUUAAUCUUCAGCAUGUGGAAAACCAGUUUUUCCAGCACCAUUUAUUAAAGAGGCUAUUUUUCUUCCAGUGAAGAUGUUGGCUACGUUGUCAAAGGUGAGAAAAUUUAAAAGGGGUCCGGGAAAGAAGGAGACAUUAAAAGCAAAGCUGGAGGACAAAGGAAGAUCAUGCAAAUUUUGGGAAACUGAUACAGAAAACAGAAGAGAAAGAAGAAAGAAAUACAAACAGGAAUACAACAACAACAACAAAAAAAACUAGAAAAUGUGUUCAUACUCAUAUAAAAAAAAGAAAAAACAAAAGCCAAGAAAAAAAGAGAAAAGAAGAAAAAAAACCCACUUCAAGGGAUGUCUCUGCUGUCACUGAUAGACAACAGGUACAAACGGAGUCCUGAUCCAGCUGAUUAACCCCAGCAAGCCAGCUGCAUUUUCGAUCCCUGAGACCCUGCAUAUCUAAUUCCACUGAAGCUCAGGCUGGUUUCUGGCAUGAGGCUGGAAGCGGACCCUUUCAGUCUGCAGCAGUUCACACACCUCCUGCGGGCUGGAGCUGGGCUCCCUGACCUCCUGCUGACUGGGCCCCCAACCCUGAGACUGGGAGCUCAAGAUGGAGCUGGCAGUUGCUCUGGUCCCAAGUUCAGCUGGCCCCUCUCCAAGAUGGCUCCUGGCCAAUCCCCUCUCCUGGGGGACAUCUGAACCUGAAAGUCGCACCAGCCACUGCAGCCCACUGCUCUGUUCCACUGGUGUACUUCUCCAUGGAGGCCUCUAGGGUUGCCAGUAGUCACGGUGUGACUGUCCCUCCCACAAAGUGAGUCCUGGCUCAGGGAAAGCUCCUCCUUCCACCUUCUCCGCUGACUUUUCUCCCCUCACUUUCCCCGUGGGCCUCAGUUCUUGCUUCAGGUCACUUCCCUCCUUUUUCUUUCCUUCAUGUUGCUAUAUCCCAGUGUCUCAACACCAAAUACUAAGAAGCCUCUUUCUCUACUGUUCACCCCGCCACCAUCUUCCCGGAAGUCCCUUUUUUGGUUUUUAGAGACAGGGUCAUGCUGUGUAGUCCAGGCUGGAUUCUCUCAUUCUCACUUCUCUUCUGAACAGCACACAUAUAGAGCUCCUUCUCUGUUUUUCAGAUUUCCUUAUCAUCUUUAGUAAAUUAGCUCUUUUUCUCUUGCAUGCUCCCAAGGCAGUCAUUUUGUAAUUUUCAUUGGCCUGAUGUUUACAUUAUUGUGCCCAUACAAAUGCCACUACUACUGGGUGUUUAGUAAGCUUAAAUACUCUUUUACUGAGUUUCCUGGACUUAAUAAAUGUCCCUUUCCUUCCUCUCCUUAACACUCUUGACUGCAUGCAGGUACCCCUUCCCCAACAAUUCACACCUUGAAAUGUGACUCCCAGUGUCAUGGUAUUUGAAGUGGGGAUUUUAGGGGGUGAGAAGGCCAUGAGGAUGGAGCUCUUCUGUGAUGGAGACCACUAUGAAGUGGCUCUGAGCAGGAUUUAAAAUUAACCAAUUAGCUUUGUAAGUUUACAUGUUAGUCUGUCAAAGGCCUGGACCCCCUGUCUAGAGAUGGGCAGUGGACUCAUAGUAAGUGAAACCCUAUGGGUCACUGGUCCUGGCUUAGUCCUGUAGUGGCCUGUGAUGCCAUGACGGCUCAAAGGACAGGAUAAGGCCACAGCUGAGCACCCCUGACACUCACCCCAGUUAACUAAAGACUGUAGCUGCAGGCCGUUACUUCUGUAGUGAAAGUCAACCUGGAGACUUUCUCCCAAGAUACUUCCCUUAAAUUAACAUAUGAUACUUCUAAAUUAACACAAGACACUUUCCCUAAAUUAACACCGUCUGUUACUUGAAGAACUCCUUGAGCCACUCCCAAAGUUGCCCUGUUUCCCACAUUUUCUACUCUAACCUCUUCUCUUGUUUGAAAACCAAACCAACGUGGGCCACCCAGGAAGUUCUUUGUCUUAUCCCCUAGAGAAUCUCAAAUUUUGCUAGAGGGUUUUGAUCCUCCUGGAGCCCUACAAUCAUACCACUUGUCUCUUUUAUUUAAGUCUUCCCCAUCCACUCAUUUGGGAGGUUGUGGACCUAAUCAGCCUGAGAUACUUACUGAGGUGGGUUCAUGAACAACAAUAUAGGAAUCCAAGCAGCCACACUGAUCAAUUUGGAAUUUAAUUAACUGAGCUCAGAACCCCUGGUAUACAGACACCAUUCCCCUUCAGGGUCCAAACAAAUAGCCCUGAACUGGAAAGUUACAAAGUUUUUAAAAGACAGAAUCAAAAAAGACAUCUUGUAGGAAACAAUUUAACUCCAAUCUUUCAUUGUUGUAUCCUGUAUCCUGCUCCUUUUGUUCAGCAGGUUAAUUUUCCUCCUGUAGCUACAGCUCAUUCUGCUUUUCUCAUGGGACUUAUACCCUGAGUAAUUUUCCGUUUUCCUGACUGAAUGCAGGGCACUAGAUAAUGCAGGGCUUAAAAUGUUUUCAGUUAUGCCAAGCUACAACACUUACGAAUAAGAUCAGUGGUUUUACAAAAGACAACCCAGAGAUUCCUUACCCUUUUGCCAUGUUGGGGACUCAGCAACAAUGUUAUAGGUAACUGAGUUAUAUAGAAAUAUUAUAGGCAGACAGCAGGGCGGGGCCCUUGAAGGAGUCAGUACAAAAGACCAGAUACCUUGCCACCUUGGAGGAGAUACCUAUGCUGCUGACCAGAUUUCAAGACAAAAGACAAAACAAAUGCAGCCAUACCCUAAGCACAAACUUCAAGGCUGAUAUUCUAAAUAGGUAUCACCUUGAUCACCUUGAGGAAGCCAGAAGAAGCCACUAAUCCAAAACCCCUUACAGGCACGUGACUUGCUUCCCUAUUGGAUCCACAUCUAAUCAAUCUUACCUGAGUAAUUACAUUCAUAGUCCUACCAGUUGACCAUAGUUCUGUCCCACCUCAUGUCCACCUGCCAAGUUCCCAUUUUCUCCCACCAUGGACCUGCCACAUCUUGUGGUUUUGCUUUAUAAAAGUCCCUAGAAAAGGCCGUCUUCGGCAACCCAUUGGAACCUCUUCUGUCUCUCAGACAGAAGCUUUCUUUUUCUCAAUAAAUAUAUUCUGUUCUUAA